UACGUAGGGUGCAAGCGUUAAUCGGAAUUACUGGGCGUAAAGCGUGCGCAGGCGGUUUUGUAAGUCUGUCGUGAAAGCCCCGGGCUCAACCUGGGAAUUGCGAUGGAGACUGCAAGGCUUGAAUCUGGCAGAGGGGGGGUGGAAUUCCACGUGUAGCAGUGAAAUGCGUAGAGAUGUGGAGGAACACCGAUGGCGAAGGCAGCCCCCCUGGGCUAACACUGACGCUCAUGCACGAAAGCGUGGGGAGCAAACAGG
rnacentral:rRNA from 1 species